AUGACGAGUGCGGGAGAGCCCCGGCAUCCGCCCCUGGUGGACCGGGCACCGAAGGAGCAAGCCUCCCCGCCAAUCUCUCAGGUCCGCGUACCGCUCUCGUCCG
rnacentral:ncRNA from 1 species